rnacentral:rRNA from 1 species
UACGGGGGGGGCAAGCGUUGUUCGGAAUUAUUGGGCGUAAAGAGCUCGUAGGCGGUUUGUUGCGUCGGCUGUGAAAACCUGAGGCUCAACCUCAGGCCUGCAGUCGAUACGAGCAGACUAGAGUGUUGCAGGGGAGACUGGAAUUCCUGGUGUAGCGGUGAAAUGCGCAGAUAUCAGGAGGAACACCGGUGGCGAAGGCGGGUCUCUGGGCCGAUACUGACACUGAGGAGCGAAAGCGUGGGGAGCGAACAGG